GACAACCACAGAUGCAGCGCUCGUAAGUGAGGGUGACAGAUUUCAAACGCCGGGCUGCAGCGUACUCAGCCUCAAACAUAUUCUUCCUCAAACUUUGCCUAGCAAGCAAUCAGCGGCUUAACCCUUUGCAGCUCUUUCUGUCGUUCGGGCACCGAGCCCUCAGCACGGGGGGGGAGUGCUGGUUUAAAGAGAAGAACAGGACAACACGGCUGCUUGGCUUGGGACUCUUUAUUACGUGCCAUUUUCUAUUCUUGGUUAUUUUCACUUGAAACAAAUCAGAACCGCCAGCUCUGGGAAGCAGAUGGAGAGCCGGAUGCUUCUCUGUGAUUAGGGGCUGGAAAAAAUCCUCUCCACAAAGCAGAUCGCUGGGGAUUCACCUGCGGUCCCUCUUUGUCACCAGAGUCUAGUAUGCAAAUUGUCAUAUGCAUGGCAUGGAUCCCUCUCAUACGUGCAUAUACAGAGCUUCUGCACUUUCCUCAGCGUGUUGUGACAAAAAGUACAGUUCCAAAAGUGCUAUUUCACUGAGACCUCCAAAUUCAGCUCGUUUACAAGUUAUUAACUACAACGGAGACAGGAGUGAGAACCAUAUUUCCAUGAGAGAGAAAAAAAAGUUUUUUUCACACAUGCACUUUGUAGUCAAAGGAAAUAUUUACCAUCACCAAACUCCAGCAUGUCAGAACAUGUUUCCUCCAAAGCGCAAGAAAGCCUUAUAAAUGAGAGAAAAGCAUGUGCAAUUCAAAGAUGAAAUGAAGUGCAUGAAAGCUUUUCAAAGUCAGUACCACUAGCUCAGAGCCCGAUGUCAAGACAAUGAAGUAGCACUUGUAACACAAAGAUGUAGAGAAGGAAACAAAAUUAGUAAACUCCACUGGUUUUCUAAUAUUAAUUUAUAUAUGUUUUCAGUGCUUUAUGAUGUGCCUGUCACCUUCUCUGCCCCCCCCUCCCACCCACCAAAAAAAAAAAAAAAGUGGGGACACGACCUCUAACUGCAGUUUAACGCCACCGAGAGCCCAUUCAUGGGCUGGGCUGCCGCGAGUUCCUUCCAGAGCAGAGUGGUCACAUAGCAGGAAGGACACAGAGGCAGCUAUACUGUUAGAAUGAUUUCUGCAGCUUGCAAGAGAGAGGGUAAAAGGAGAUGGAAAUUAUUCUACAGGAUGAAGGUUUGAAUGUGUUCCUCUGCACUUCAAUGAAGAAAUGAAGCACUUGACUAGAAUUAGUUUAGACUGAAAAGUAUCCACACCCAAUAUGUACUUUCUCUGAGCUUUCACUUCUAAGGUGAGUUUAACAUGAAAAUGCCAUACUGGUUCUGAAACAAACUUUGAUAGA